CAUGCCGUAAACGAUGAUAGCUAGGUGUGGGGGGACUGACCCCUUCCGUGCCGGAGUAAACACAAUAAGCUAUCCACCUGGGGAGUACGACCGCAAGGUUGAAACUCAAAGGAAUUGACGGGGGCCCGCACAAGCAGUGGAGUAUGUGGUUUAAUUCGAAGCAACGCGAAGAACCUUACCAGGUCUUGACAUCCAACUAACGAAGCAGAGAUGCAUUAGGUGCCCUUCGGGGAAAGUUGAGACAGGUGG
rnacentral:rRNA from 1 species